GGCGUUAUUGAUUUAUAUAUUUAUGAUAAAAAAAAAAAAAAAAAACGUAGAUAAAUUAUUAUCUGUAGAACGAGUGUUGGGUUAUAUUAAAUUCAGAACCGAGGAAGUAUUAUGUAUUUGGGUCAGAAGGUCGUGUCUUUUAUCCUGUUUGCCAAUUUCUCGUACAUUUUGCUGUUAUGGACGAUUUUUGACAUCUGUCAAAAGUUAUAACUGGCUUUGUGAUGCUGCAGACGUUCGCCAGAAGCUGUUUAUUCGUAUCGUUAACUCAAAAUUAUAAUAUUCUACACAUGAUAGAUGCUUUAACUCAAAAUGUUUAUAAUUCACAUCAUAGUUUUCAUAUAAAUAAUUUUGUUAGUCAUAAAAACAAAAUUUCACUUUUUUUCCUUUUAACAGAAUGAAACUUAAUUUUACUAACUUUAUUUUGCAG
rnacentral:lncRNA from 1 species